UUCAAAAUUUUCUUUUGAAAAUAAUAAAAAAAAAUUCGAAAAAAAUUCAAAAAAAAAUAAUUUAUAAAAAGUUCGAAUUUGAAAAAGUAUAAUUCGAAAACAUAAAAAAUAUUAUAUUUUUUAUUAAAAAAAUUAUUUAUUAUAUAUAUAGAGAACAUAAAUAUAAGAGUCUUUUGUUUUUUAAUGAAUAAAAUAUUUUUGAAAAUGUCUUUUUAUUGGCAGUAGUAAGAACAAUGUGGUAAACAUAAAAAUUCCCCAAAAGCUAAAACUGAAACAUAUGAUUGGAAAUGUGAUUUGUCUCCUCUAUUGUAAAAAUGAAUUUUGCCGUCGAAUUCAACGGUACUAGAGUAACCUUUUUAUUUUAGUGCCCAGCUUCGUCAUUUAGUACUUUGUCAACACAAUUCCAUUUACAAGAAGCUGCAUACAAAUUAGACACUAGUAAUUGGUAUGCACCAAUGUCAGAAGCUGUUCUUGACAGAGAAAGUUUGCUACUCUCUGGCCCAAUUUCACAUCACAAUGAACCGCACAAGCACCCAAUAAGACUCCCCAUAUACCACAUCUGGUUCCAACGGCAUGUCUUUUUAUAAACUCAUAGGCCUCCUUUAGAAGACCAGAGCGUCCUAAUAGAUCAACCAUAUACAUGCAUCUUGUCUCGGCUCAAUAUUCUUAUAAUUCGAUCAUGAGCUUGAAAUACACUUUUCCUUCAUUCAGAAGUAAUUUGGUCUUAGCCCCUCGUUCUGCAUCACAUUAAAUAAGGCCAAGACAAUCGUUUUCUCCAUUCACUGCAUACCUACAGUCAAAGGCCAAAAGCCCUAGCAAAGAGAUCGCCUUCACAAACCGAUUAGUAAGUUCAUCAGGAUGGACAUCAAGAUCAGGCAUUUUUUAUAAAGUAGGAUACUUUCAAAGGGAAGCCCGCGGCUUGUGCAUUUCGUCGAACCGGGCGAGCGUAACACAUGACACAUGUCGCCUACAAGUAUAAGAUUCUCUGACAGCUGCGUUAAGAAGCUGUUCUUGACAGAGAAACCGGACGUUAAGCGUACAAGCGCAUGGAUCUUCUUAAGCUGCUUCCGCUUUGAAGAGUUUGUUCGUAUCAGCUUGGAGGGCAUCUAUUUUGUAUUUUUGUUAAUGGCGUUAGUUUAGCAAGUAUUGCUUUGAUUAUCAUUUUUUUUUUGGUAAUUCAACGAUCUUCAAAAAAUCUCAUGUAUAUUAAUCAUGGAGCAUUAUAACAUGUUUUUGUAGCCACGUAUCAUUAUUAUUAUUAUGAAGAUUUUUAAAAUCUUUUAAAAAAUAAGUUGGUCCAUAUAAAUAUAUACUAGGUGUUUGUCCGCAAUUUUUCGGAUAAUUAUAUUAUAUGAAGAAAUAUAUAUUAUGUUUACAAUGUGAUAAUUUUUGAAUAAUAAUUAAAAUUUUAAAAUUUUAAUUAUUAUUAAAAAAUUAUAACAAUGUACAUAAUAUAUAUUUCGUAGUUAUCCGCAAAAUUACGGGAAAAAACCUAGUAUAAUUUUAAGUGAAUUUUUUGUGUUACAUAUAAUUUUUGUGUUACAUAUAUGGGGUCCUUAACUUCGUGUAUUUGAAACUAUAUGUGACCAUACUUAUCUUGGUAUUGUCUGAUAAAAACUAGGAGAAUGUGAAUAACGAUUUACAAGUCAAUUUCUAUUAACCUGACAGAUAUAUACAUAGAAUUGGUAUAUGAUUAUAAACUUGCUGAAAAGAAAUGCUGAACGUGUGGUUGGAACAAGAGAAAAGUUUGAGGCUGAAUAUAAUCAAAUAUAGGUACUAGUUAACCUAGCUAGUGGUACUCGAUGAGGGUCGCAUGGGAUGAUCUCGCGCCAAAUCUGGCAAUACUCGCACAAGAAAGUCACGAAAGCGUGUUGUGAAUGACAUCAGUUAACUAUUGUUUUGAUUAUAAAAUUUUAGGCAGGUCGUAAUAUAUGAUUUGGUGACAGUUUCAGUUAGGCGCGGACAUAAAGUGUAAGUAUGAAUGUAGAAGUGGCCCUCACGUCAUCAAAUCAAGCCGAAGACCUCUCUACAAUGAAGCCCAAAAAACAUAGUCACCAACGGUCUGAUGAUCAACGCAUACAGCCAAAGUCUCAGAAGUGUACGGCAAGGACAGUCCAGCUCUCUAACUAAUUUGAUGCUCUCUUAUCCUCGAGUGAAGGAGAGUAAACCUUUCCAGCUGUAGGCUAGCUAUGAGCUGUCCUUAUCUUAUUUCUAGAUUGUUCCUUUUGUCAAUAUAUAAUCAUGAUGUCACGACCGUUUAAUAGCAUGUGCUACUGGAGCGGUCGAAUAGGGUCCGAUUCUAUAACUAAAAAAUAUUAAGAUAUUUUUAAAAAUAAAUACAUAUAUUUGGUUUAAAAUUUUAAAAAUUUAGAUAUAUUAUAGUUUAUAAUUUAAAGAGAAACUUCAUAUAUAUAUAGGUAAGCUAUUAAAUUUUAAGACUAUUUCAUUAUAUCAUUAUAAACUAGGAUCGGCCCGCCCUACGGGCGGGAUGUGAUGUAUUGGUUUUUAUCGAUGAUAUAAUUUUUCUGUUAAUUUUUCUUUAUGUUCAUUUGGUUGUGAGUAUGAUUAUGUUAAGCAAUCAGUGUUAUCUACAUCAAAUUUCAAUUAUAUAACUAAAAAGGACAUGUGAGCAUAUUUAGUAUUGUUGUUGAUUCAAAGUUACAAAAUUUUAUAGUGUUAUAAUACUCAUAACAUUUUUCUAAAUUUAAACUUCGAGCUAAGUUAAAUCAAACAAAAUCGAUCAAAAGAGAACACAAUAGAGAAACCUUGUUAAACCACAUAUGUUAAGGAUAUGAUUAGAUCUUAUGGAGUAAAAAGUUGAGUUUUAGUCUCUUAUUUUUCCUCUGUAGCCAAAGAAGGAGUAUAGGCCUUUUAUAUUCUGUUUUUGAUCAAAUGAGAGUUUCUCUACCGUUUAUUUAACAAUUAGAUAUAAGAUUAUGAGAAAUCAAAUACAAUUAUAAUUUAGAUUUUAAUAGUUAUAUAUUACAUUAGAAUUGACUACUAAAAUAUAAUUAAUAUGCCAAUUCAGAUUUUUUUAUUUUUUUAUUCAAUGUGUUGCUCAAAAAAUUUGAACUGAUUAAAACUCACUAUUUGUUAUAUUUUCCGUAUUCGAAUUAACAGAAGGUAAGCAAUGUGAAAUUUAAUUUAAUUAAACAUUUUAAUGCUUUAAAUACUUUUAUCUUAUUAUUACUUUUUCAUAUAAACAAAUUUUUAAAUUUACAACUCAUUUGAAGCUUAGUUAUGUUUUUAGAAUCAUUGAGUUCUCAUUUCUCGGGAAUCCGUCUUUAGAGCAUCUCCAACACAUUGCUAUUUCUACCUUUAUAAUAGCACUAAAUACUGACCCGCCAUUUCAAAUGGCGGGUAUUUUACCUAUUAAAAUGUCAUUUUUCAAUUUUAAUAUUAUUUCUAAUUAGAUGAGGAUGUGUUUCAAUAGUCUAUUUUCUAAUAUGGUUUUAUUUUUAUAAAUUGUAAUUCUAAUUAGUAGAAGUAUGUAUUUGAAUAGUUUAUUAUCUAAUAUGGUUUUAUUUUUAUAAAUUGUAUUGUAAUUUAUUUGUUAUUAGUAAAAUUGUGUUUACACAUAUUGGACUUCAAAUCCGUUGUUUGUUUAAUUCUUAAAUAUAUCACAUAUAUUAAUUUGUUUAGUUCUUAAAUGUAUAAUCUCAACUUUAAAAAUAAAACAGGCUUUUUAUAAUUUUAAGUAUAGAUAUUUUACACAAAUUGGCAUAAUGGAUUAAUAUAUUUGUUUAUCUCUUAAAUGUAUAAUCCCUGUAUAAAAAAUAAAACAAUAUUUUCAAUGAUUUUCACUAAAUAUAUUUUAAACAGAAUGGGCCUAAUGGGUUAACAAUGGUUCAAUUUGGGCCUAUCGAAUGGGCUUUAAAUUUAUGUAAAUCAUUAAAGGUAUUUAAAAAAAAACAAUGGUAUGUUUUGUAAUUUCUUAAAAAAGUCAGGGGCAUAAUCAUAAGAAUUAUUUUGCUUUAAUAGUAUAGAUUUAGAGGUGAAAUUGCUCCAAUCCACCUCUAUUUCUUCCUCUGUAAUAGAGAUCUCUAUUUAUAGAGGAAAAAAUAACAUUUCUCUAUUUUUACUCUAUAUUUAGAGAUUACUAUUUUAGAAGAAUACAUUGGAGCAUAUCUCAUCUCUAUUAUAGAGUUACUAUAGAAAGACAAAUAUAAUGUUCGUCUUCAAACCAGUUCAUGAGAACACAUUACAAACCAAAUAAAAUCAAGGGCUUAUUUGUGAUAUAACCACAAAAAAAAAAGUAAAAUUAGUUUUGUAGAAAGAGAUUGGAGAGAGAUAGGAAGAGAGAAGAGAAAAAAGGUGUGAUUUUGGUUAUAUAAUGAAUAAUGGGUUUUUAUUUGGUUUUAUCACCUAAUUUCCCUAAAAUCAAAGAACAAAUAUUUUUUAAGAAAACCACAACCCAACGAUUUCUCUAAAUCAUAUCAACCGAGCCUUCAAUCUGUAAAUUUGAGAAACAUUACCUCAACUCAAAAGAUCUGACUCCUCCGUUUUCCUAAACUCAAAGAUCCAUUAGCUACAGCGUCUCAGUUUUUAGAGAAGCCCAUUAAUACAUAGUAAAUGACAAAGCCCAAUAAAAUCAGGGUUUCUCCUAAUCCUGUCUCGACUAAUAUAUAACGUGUCAAUCAUAAAGUGUGAUGUCUCAUUGUUUAUAGUUCUUAUCAUCUUCUUCGAUACUGGUAUAAGAUUUUUUUUUAAAAAAAUUGCGUGACAGAGAUGAGCUUUGUUCUUUAUCGCUGACGGUCAACCUCUAAGAAGUUCUGAGCUUUUCCAUUUUUUUUCCUUCUGGCUUUAUAUCUAAGCUCUCUUUUAUGUAGUCGAGGUGAACAUAGAAUGUCCACAAGUCUCUCAAUCCCGUGAGACAUAUUGAGAUGUUAUUGUGAUAACUCUUGAGAUGCUGAUGGACUUAUAAUGAAAAUUAAGUCUUUUUCCAGUCUUUAUUUUAAAAAGAUCUGUGGGUUUAUGUACUGACUACAUAAUGAAUCUCGUAAAAAGUCAUUUUCCAGUUUUUAUUUUAAAAAGAUUUGUGGGUUUAUAUGAUCUGAGUACAUGAUGAAUCUCAUAAAACAAAUGGUAUUUUACGACUGAUUUUAUGUUUGAUAUUUAUUCACCUUGGAGAACAGAUACUCAGAAUCAAGUUUUCAACUUUUGUGCUUUUUAAGUUCUUUCUUUUGGCUGGGCAUAUGAUUUGAAACUAUAUUUCUGGGAUAAUUUGCGUUUGAAUCUUAUUGAUACUAUCUUUAUGAUUAUCUGAUACCCGUAUUUCAAUUUUUAUACAGAAUAUCUUUCUGUUUUAUGUUUGAUUGUUUAGAUUAAUGUCGAUCUCCCUCGCCCUUAAUUCCUUUUUAUUAAUACGGUUAAUUUUAUUUGUUCAAAUUAUGGUCUUCUGAAUAUUUAGUCUGGCCAAUAACAGGUUUCUCAUAAACAGAUUAAUAUUUUUGUAAAUCGUGUUCUGUAAUAUUUUGUAAAUUGGGUUUUGGCGGCUGACCAGAACCGAUAGACGUAUUGUUCAGUGGUUUAGUGAAUCUUAAUUGGUUUUGCAACUUUGGGUCUAUCUAUUACAAAUCACUUGACACGUUAAACAAAAAUGAAGAUUACAAACUUUAAUCUUGAAUUUUAGCAAAAAAAAACGCAGCUACUCGUGUAAAUUAUUAAGCCCACAAAACAAAGUCCAAAAAAGUAACAAACAAAACGAAGGCCCAAAAAAAAUAACAAAGAACCAUAAUUAAAACGCAACAUUUAGUUAGAUGGACAUGUGUCAACACUAUAUUAAGCGACUUAGUGACGUGGCGCAACAGGAGGGAGACAAACAUUUUUUUAUAUAUAUAGAUAGAUAUAUAGUUAAUAUUUUUUCGAACAGGGCCUUAAAAUUGUUUGAGACGGCCUUGCAUGAUGUAAUCAUCUCUGAAAUGUUAAGAAAAGUAAUAUUUAGUCAUCAAAGCUCUUUUUUUGCUCUUUCUUCUACAUAAAGAACCAAAAACAGAAUCCAAACCGACGUUCACAAAUAACCGAAUGAUUCCUAUAUUUAUGGAACUGAAAAAUUAAAACCAAAUCUGAACCAAACUGAAAACAAAAUGGAUAGCGGAAUAUCUAAAAUAUAGUUUAUACACUUAAAAUAUCAAUCAUAUUUAGUUUUAAAAUUAUCAUACAUUUUAAAAAUAUUACUUACAAACUGAACUACUCAAAAAACCAGAUUAACCAAAUAUGUGUUUAUCCUAAAUGUUUUAAAAUUAUUCAAAUUAUCCAAAGAUUUGAGUUGUCUGAAUACAUUUUGGAUAUAUUGAAAUUUAUCUAAAUUACACGAUAUGUAAUCCAAAAAAAACUAAAAAUUUAAUAUAUAUAUAUUACCUAAAUUAUCUGAAAUUAUCCGAAAACAGAACGAAACCAAAAUAGAAUCCAAAAAUUUAUCGGAUAUUAGCCGGUUUAUAAUAUGGUUACCCGAACCAAAAAACAAAAUAACCAAAUCAUAACUGAACCAAAUUUCAUAAAUAAUGAACAUUUUUUAUAUAUGUAGAACUGAAAAACCGAAAACCAAAUUACGAAUUGAAAAUUGAACGCCCAAGCGUAGUUUCAGUUAUCGUUUUAUACUGAAACCAGAUAUUGUAUGUUCGGAGCUCAAGAAACAUAUGAUAUAAAUACCUAUCAAAUUUGAAAGGUUAAAUCGUCAUUUAUUGGCUUUUGGAUGACGUUGAUAGUGUUAACAUGAAAUUUGAUCGUAGUGUUAGGGACUCCAUUCUCCUAUGAAUCGCAGAAAAUUGAAGGACCUCCCGACCCAAUGGUUCACAUUUGAAUAGUUGUUCCUUCACUAAAUUAUUUUUCUUCGGUUAUUUCUAGGUUUUUUCACUUUUUGGGGAUUAUAAAUUAUAACUUUUAGCUCGGCUGAGCAUCUAAAUUGAAACCGUUCCAGUUUUUCGUAACUAAAAUUAAUAUAUAUGCAAUUUGCUAAACCUUAUCAUUCCAUGUCAAACCUAACAGAGUAACACUCAUCAUUUUAUGAUAAGAACUUGGUACACGUAACUACGAGACGAUACAGAUUAACAGUACUACGCUUCUACUUUUUCAUGCACAAUAAUAUGCAUGUCAAUAAUUUUUUUAUCCAAUUUGUAAUCAUGUCAAGAUAAGAAAAUCGUGGUAAAGAAAACCAUUUUCGUCUAAUGAAGAAAACAAAAUGUCUACUUACCUUUAUCUUCCCGAGGAAGACAAGCACUAUCUUUCUACCACCCUUUAUAGUCUAUAUAAACGAAGGCACCAUACAAGUUAAAAUAUUUAUCAACAAAAGAGACAAACAACACACUUCAAUCACUACCCAAAGAAGAGAAAGAAAGAUGGCAACGUCAGGAACAUAUGUUACUGAGGUUUCACUGAAAGGAUCGGCGGAGAAACACCACAAGCGGUGGAAGAAUGAAAACCAGACUGUAGAACUUUUGGAGAUUUGAGAUUUGCUACUUUGUAAAAAGAAAACUCCAUCUCUCUCGAUUUAGAGAAGAACCCCCUGAACCCUAUUUUUAUUUACUGCAAUCGUAUUCAUGAUUUAUUCAGUAUAUAUCUCAGUGUUUUCUUGUUUCAUGACUGAAUAGCCGGCUUGCUUAGUGUAGGGUAUUAGUGUAUUAGAUUUGUGAGCUAGACAUAAAUAAGUUAUUAAUCGAUUGUCUUCAUUCACUGUUGUUCUUAAGGCUCAUAUUAAACUGAUUACUUAGUGCAUGAACCCAUGUUUAACAUGUACAUUAACCGUGUAUUAAGUUGCUAGACAUAAUUUAAAUGACCAUCACAUCUCUAGCCAGUAAAAAUAGAUGUUAGGAUGUUUUAUGAACAAAUCAAACUUGAUCUUUAUGUUCAUCAUCUGAUCUCAGACGAAGCGAUAGCUUAGGUUUUGAGGCUGAGCAAUGAAAGGUGAAUCUCCAUGAGAGUGGGCUGAUCUACUCAUAGUGUUCUGAGUUUUAGAUUUGCUUUUAAUUGAACUUGAAUAAUUGUUUAGCUCACGCCUAUUUAACAUCCGCUCAAACCACCCUAGGCUAGCAUCUUAAUCAUCUGAAAACAUAACCCAAUCGUGUUACCUGUUUGUUAUGUUUUACUCAGUUUUACAACCACCGUAUUGUUUUAGCUCAAUAUUAAAUCUGGUCGGCAUGAAGUGAUUCAUCAUGCUCAAACAUAAAGAUAAAAUGUAAACUGGUCCUCUGGAAUUGAAUCUAAAGUAUUCAGCAACCACUGUUAACUUGACAGUAGCAAAAAUCCAAUUUUAGUGUAUCAGCAGCUUAAACCUUAAAGUGUAUGAUGUAAUUUAUCAGUUCAUUCAGAAGUCAUCUGAUGAUAUUGUGACAACCCGUCCUACAGAUCCAGGCUGGCUCUGCAUAACCCAUCACAUUUGGGGAAGCGAAUGAUUUGAUAAGAUGAAGAAUCAUAAUUGCAUGGCUUCACAAACUCUGUCAUCUCGUCAUUACUAAAGAGCAUCAUAAUGUAGCCAUCACUUCAGUGCUCCGGUGAAGAAUAGAUAUAGCCAAAUAUAUUCAAAAAAAAAAAAUAGAUAUAGCCAAAGAAAUCUAAUGGACAUUUUUAAUAUUUAACAACACAUACGCUGCACAACAUUGACAUCCAUACCAAAUCUCUUAUGUGUUUUCUCUCACAUUUAGGUAGAACUUACUUGUCAGAAAUGACUCGUACCAAAAAUAAAAAAUAAAUCAUAAUAUUUUCUUUUAUAAUAUCCUUGCUAUAUAAAAUUUUAAAUAGUAAAAUUAUAUAUUUAUUUCAAACAAAGCUUUAUCUUAAACAUAAAUUAUUAUAGUAAUAUUAUUAUUAGUUUCAAAUUUAUAUUUUAAUUACUUAAAUAUCCAAUCUGGAUAAAAAUGUCUUUUCACAUUUAACAAAGUGUAGUUUUCAAAACAUAAAAAAGAAGGUAUAUUUUUCAAAAUUUAAACUAUUUAUAGAGUAUUUUUCAAAUUAUUCCAAUAAUUACGAAAUCAAUAAAUUAUUUUUAAAAAUAUAUUUACUUUAAAAAAAUUCUCAACAAAUUUUGCUAUAAAAUUACAAUAUUAAAAGAUAUUAUGUAUAAAUUAUUGAAAGUUUAUAUUACAUUAUUAUAUUACUUUAUAUUACAUUAUUAUAUUAGUUUAUAUUACAUUAUUAUCCUUAAUAAACAUCUGAAAUUCAAAUAUUUAUAAUGUCACAGAUCAAAAAAAUGUCAUUAUGUUUUAUAUAAUAUUUAUAUUUUAAUAAGAUAACUUCAACUCAGUAGUCCUUUGACUUUUUUUAAAUGAUUGUU